rnacentral:lncRNA from 1 species
GCAACAUCAACUAAAACUAUGGCGCGCAUCUCCAAGCUUCUUCUAAUCUUCUGCCACAGCAGCAGCAACCUCGACAACAUUAGAUCCUGAUCCAGAUAAGUUAUUAGUGAAAUACACUGGAAGUAAAUAAUAUUCUUUCAAGAGGCUAAAAUUUAUACAUACAUCCCCAAAUGCCCCAAUUCAGUAAACACUAAGCAUGGCAUAACAAAGCUUCCAACAACUUGAAUGCAACAGAUUAACUUGAUGUUGUUCUACAAUAAUAAUCUAUACAUACCUGCAUGGUACAUUGGUACAAAGUUUAGGUAAUGAAAAUAAAAUCACUAUAACACUAACCUAAAGAAAAAUCCUAUUCUACUACCACGACCAUCCAUUCAACUAACAAUACUAGUAAGUGCACAGAGACUAACAUCACAAGGCACGAGACAAUUAUGACAAUUUUGGCAAGUUGGAGAAAUCAUUUAGUCAGUUUUGGUAUACUUAGGUUAUGAGCCAAAAUAGACCAAGCAAAAAAAGCAGUAACUGGUGAUGCAUGAGCAUGAAUAUGGUACAGAAUAGAGCAUAUUAACGUUAAGAUUUGGGCCUUCCAACUUUACUGGUCAUACAUACAUAUACAAAAUUGAGCAUGAAUCAUUGAUCUUAGUUGUAUAUGAGACUAGUUGGGUUGUGUAUUCUAAGCUCCAAGCAGGUUACAAAAGAAAUUGAAGAUGAACCGUAUAUAACAGACUAAAAUAUCAAAUAGAAACCCAAAAAUUAAAUACGAGUAUAACAGGAAGGAUUACAACAUGUUCAAUUCAAUUAAUUUCUAAAGCACUGAAUCAGUAGCAUAAGCAUGCAACAACAACAUAAGAAUUUAAUCAACAGCGGCGUGAGUAUAAGCAUUAAAUUAGCAGCAGCAACACAAGCAGCACCACCACCACCACAAGUGCACACUUAUUCAAGCUAGUAGCAGUCUAGCAGGCUAGCAGCAGAAGCAUUCAAACAACUAGAGAAGCACAGUACAGCAGCAAAAGCAUUGAAAGAGCAGCAAAGCAGGUUUGAACUAUCACAUGUCAUAUCUGGAAGGACCACGAUGUCGCCUAAGGGGGGGUGAAUAGGCGUUUUAAAAUAUUUUAAGGAUUUGGCUAUAUCCUAAUGCGGAAAUAAACUAAGCGGAUAUUUUUCAAGCACAAAUCCUAAAUAUACUAGGCUCACUAAGUGCACCAACAGCUUAGGAUAAACAAGAUGAGAACAACGAUGAUAUGAGUAAGCACAAGUAAGUACAUAAACUUAAUGUAUAUCACAAGAUAUGUAAAUGAAUAAUACACACAACCACAAGUAAGAAAUACAAGCUUACACAAAUUAUGUCACAAGAUAUGGAAAUGAAUGUUAUAAGCUAGCAAUUCACACUCAGCACAAGAUAGAACAAUGGUAGCAAGUAUGAAUUGCGGACUAUAAAGUAUUGGCCUAAAUGAUCUCUACGAUAUGGUAACCAACACAAUACAAUGAGGACAACAAGAUAUAGUGAAUGCACGGUCAAGUGACCAAAGUAAACCACAAGUAAGGAGUUAGGGUUAGGGAUAACCAAAGUCACGAAGACGAGGAUGUAUCCCGAUGUUCACUUCCUUGGAGGGAAGCUAGUCACCGUUAGAGAGGUGGAUGUUACCAUGAAGGCACACCAACGCCAUGAAAGCUCACCCUAUUCUCCUUGAGAUAUCACCACGAAGGCGAUUCUCAACCACUAGUGGUAGACCUUGAGGCGGCCUCCAAACCUUCACAAACUUUCCGGGGGACAAAUCACAAGUUGAUUCCUCACCGGAGCACUCCUACCGCCUAGGAGUCUCCAACCUCCAAGAGUAACAAGAACAAAGGGGAAAUGCUCAAGACUUGCUCAAAUCACGAAUUCUUUUGGUCAAGAGAGGGAGAGGGAGUGGAUCUAUCACUUGAUUGGAAAAACUCUCAAGAACUCUCACAAAUCUCUCCGGGAUAUAAGGAUUUGGUGUACGAGAAGUGAGAGGGAGCCACUUGUGUUCUUGGGGUGAUUUGGGAUAAAGUGGUCGACCCUCUACCAGAUUAGUAGAGGGGUCUAUAUAGAAGGCCUAGAAAACUAGCCGUUUGUGAGUAAGUGACAGCGUCGGGCCGGACAUCCGGGCAAGGGCCGGACAUCCGGGCAAGUGCCAGACAUCCGGCGGGCACAACCAACAUUUGAAAACAAGUUCUGGAAUUUGCGGGCCGGAUUUUCGGGAGGAUCCCGGACAUCCGGGGCGACCCGGAAGCCCGGACAUCCGGCCAAGUCCUGGAUGUCCGGCCAUAAAAAAACAGCAGGAACCCCAGAACUGAAACAUGCAUAACUUUUACAUCCUGACUCCGAUUUUAAUGAUCUUGGGCUCGUUUUGAAGCUAUGGAAAAACUCCAGGUCCUCACAUAUAGAACCACCCAAGAUAAGCCAUAAUGGAGGGUGCAAAGCAUGCAAUGGUUAUACAUAUACUUUGGGGAACCUAGUUGGCUUUGGAUUUUCUUUUGAGAUAUGUAGGCAUAUUGUAUUUGUAUUGGAUAGGAGCGAAAUAUGCUUAUGUUGGAAUAUGAUGUGAGAAGAAUAGAAAUAGAUGAUGUUGAAUUGAGAAAAUCCAUCACUAACCCCUUUGAUCCCCUCUCAAUAGUGCGGGGUCCCUAUAACUCAAGAAUCAUAAAAGAACUAUACUAGAUAGCUUCCGAAAACUCAUUCCUGAGCAUAUAUCCUUUUCGAUGGUCAUAGAUCCUCACAUCUAAAGCCAAAGGAACUAAUACCUUUGACUAGAGCCUUUCACUUGAGCUUUAUAUUGAUGUUUCUUCAUGGCUCAAGUUGAAGGCAAGACAUUGGAGAAGUCUUCAAGUAGCUCCCCCAUACACAAUGUGGGAAGAUUUGUUUUGCAUUCAUCUUUACUUGUCCAUCAACAUUAAUUACUUGAUGACAUACUUUGAUGAGCACCAAGCUUUCUUAGAAGCACCAAGCUCAUGAGAAUUACCUAACCGACAUAACAUAGACAACACAUAGUAUGGGUUAGUACACAAAGCGCAAUUGAUAAAUUCUUAUCAUGCCACAAGAUCUCAUGUGGCACAUGAUAUGCGCUUGUGUGUUGUCCACCUUAAAGGUCAAUCUUUGAUCUUCAUCUUGGUCAACAUUUAUCUUUGCUCCAUGAUUAAUAUUGAUGUCUUGAAGGCCCUAUUGAUAUCUUCACUAUGCUUCAUUUCUUCAAGACAUAAUAACCAAUAUCUCAAUUCACCAUGACCAUAUCAAGUUUCUCCUUGAAUAUCAUAUUGGACAUCAUUUGCCCGUUCUCAUGCUCCAACAUGGUAUCUUGAGAGGCACAAUGAUUUCUUCACUUGAAUUACUUGCUUCAAGACAUAAUAAUCCCCGACUCAACAAAUGAGUUCAUAAUGAUCCUAUCAUCAAGCAUAUGUAGAAUUCUUAUCUUUAAUCAUUCUCUCAAGAUCUUGAUCCAUCAUGGUUCAACCCAUAAGCCUUGAUGCAUGCACAACAAUAUGUAUAUGGCAUUCAUUUAGAAUCCAUUCUAUCUCCUUCUUGCAUCACCAUGGAACAAACAUCCUUCAGUUCAUCCAAUAUUCUUCAUGCAUUGGAAAUGGAACUUUCCUUCAAAUGUACAACUCAAUGCAAAAACAUUAGUCCAUUAGGAUUGCCAUUCAAUUACCAAAACCACACAUGGGGACUACAUGUACUUUCAAUCUCCCCCAUUUUGGUAAUUGAUGACAAUCUCAACAAGAGGGUUUAUAUAGUGCUUUUUAAACAAGGAUGCAAUUUAUCCGAGGAUAAAUUAUAUACUUGGGAUGGUUGUAUUAUCAUCAAGACACUACACAAGCAUUUGAUGAUAGUACACCCAUAGUAUAUAGAGAAAACUCCCCCACAAUAUAUGCAUGUGUGAAUGAACUUUGAAUGUCAUUGCAAUACUCAUCCACGCAAUAAGAAUAUAUAACAAGGGUAGAUAUGCAUGAGUGACAACAAGAACUACAAAAGAUAUUUAUCUUAAACCCUCUAAACUUCUCCCCCAUUGGCAACAAUUGCCAAAACGGAAGACAAAACAUCUAGCCGACCAAUAUAGUAUGAGUUCCUCCUUGAUGUGUGCAUAUCACAAAAUGUCACUGAAAACAAAUGCACAUAUUUAAAUGAUGAACAAUUAAACGAGCUCGGAAUCUAUAGAACGCAAUCCGAUACAAAGAUAUGAACUUUUUCAUGUAAAUUUUUUUAAGUGGCCAAUAAUAAUCAUGAUAUGUAUCCACAAAGAAACUCAUAUACACAAAAAGAAAGGUUGCAAUUGAUAAGAACAUGAUAUCCACAAGUGAAUCCACUAUUAUACAACUUGAGCCUAGUCAUAAUAGCAAGGCACAUGGCACAAAUUGAUCUCAUUUGCAUAACAAAAGUGAAGCAAGUAAUCAAAAGAUCCGAUGAGCCAAAAGGAUAAAAGAAUAUUACGAUUUGGGUAAAGGAGUGGUCUAAGGAAAAUAGAGAAGCUCCCCAUGAUUUGUGUACUAUUUAUAAUUUUUGUAUUUGGAUACAAGUGCACAAAAUAGGAUCAUGACUCUCCCAAAAUCAAUAGGAACACAAAACAAUUGCAAGCAAGCAUAGAUAAGAAAAGAAGCCUAGCAUUUGCAACAAACAUAUGGUUGAGCAACAUGAAAAUGAGGCAACCUAAGAAUAGGCACAACCAAAAUGAUGUGUGUGAGUCAUGUCAAAGAACUUGAGAAGAUUAGUAUAUGGAUGAGAAUUAAGCAUCAACAUAGCCUUGAGUAAAUUAGAUACAAGGUGCAAGACAUGUCCUUCCCACACACACGAAGUUAAGAGCGACACACACACAUCAAGCAAAUGGGUUCACAAGCUCACUAAUAGCAAAUUAAAAAUAAAAGCUUGUGACAACCCAUGAUGAAGAUAGGAAAUAAUAGGCUUGUCAAGACAAGCACGAGGACAACAAUCUUCACCAAACAUGAGUGCACUAAGGUGCAAAGAGGUAAGACACGCACUCAUACAAUAAAUGCUUCCACGGAGCCACCAAAUAUGUAAAAAGAGAAUGAAAUGGUGGACAUGAAAGAAUAGGGAUAUCAACUAGAGAUGUAACUUCUCUCAUGUGUACAAGAUUCUAGGUAGAUGACAAUCAUGAUGAUAUAUAUCCACAAAGAAGGAUGUACACAUGAAAUAAUUACAAAAGGAAAGAAUAAGAUACCCAAAAGGGAGACAUAAAAUAUACCAAUGAGAUCUUUGCUUGAAAGUAUAGCACUUGGCUUAAUAUAAUCUUAUCGUAUAUUGAUGAACUCCAAACACACAACCAUCAAAGACAUCACAACUAGCAACAAGAGAUCAUUGUUGAGAUGCUUUGAGAGAGGAAACAAGUAUGACAAGAACGAGUCAAGAAAUUCAUGCCAUGAUGCAACCUAUACAUAAGGUUGAAUGCAAGAAAUGUAUGCAUGAAGUAAAUACUUGUUACCGAGAUAGCAUUGGAAUGAUGUAGUAGGUAAUGGUUCAAGCUUGGCUCUAAUUUCCUCAUAGUGCCACCAACUUCAUGAAUAAGCCAAGCACCCAAUGCUCCUUAAAUGUACCUAAAACAAUUUAAGUACAAUAUGGUCCCCAAACUUAUUGGGUCCGAAGUAGUUAGCAUAACUAUAAAACAUAGGGUAAAAUCACUUAAAUAUGUGCAUAUCAAUAUGAAUUUGAAUUUCAUGCACAUAUUAGCAAUUAAGAAUUUUGAUGGAUUUACCAUAUAUNNNNNNNNNNNNNNNNNNNNNNNNNNNNNNNNNNNNNNNNNNNNNNNNNNNNNNNNNNNNNNNNNNNNNNNNNNNNNNNNNNNNNNNNNNNNNNNNNNNNNNNNNNNNNNNNNNNNNNNNNNNNNNNNNNNNNNNNNNNNNNNNNNNNNNNNNNNNNNNNNNNNNNNNNNNNNNNNNNNNNNNNNNNNNNNNNNNNNNNNNNNNNNNNNNNNNNNNNNNNNNNNNNNNNNNNNNNNNNNNNNNNNNNNNNNNNNNNNNNNNNNNNNNNNNNNNNNNNNNNNNNNNNNNNNNNNNNNNNNNNNNNNNNNNNNNNNNNNNNNNNNNNNNNNNNNNNNNNNNNNNNNNNNNNNNNNNNNNNNNNNNNNNNNNNNNNNNNNNNNNNNNNNNNNNNNNNNNNNNNNNNNNNNNNNNNNNNNNNNNNNNNNNNNNNNNNNNNNNNNNNNNNNNNNNNNNNNNNNNNNAUGCAAAUUUACACAUAGUAAAUAUCCAUGCACAAGCCUACCAAAAUCUAGGGAGAUACAAAUUUGACAAAUGAACAUAUAACCGUUAAUACUUCCAAUAACAUCAGUAGUCAUUCAUGUUGUCCAAAAUGACUCAAAGUGACAAAUCAACAUAUGAUAGCACAGAAAGUUGAACAUAUGAACUAAGGAAAACCAAUGAGCAUAUAAGAUAUGCAUUGCACACAUGCUCAUGGGAAUAUCUCACUCAAGAAGAUAUAUGACACUAUAAACAAUGAGAUAACAAACUACCAUAACUCCAUACAAACCAAUAAGAUGAACUUGAACAAAAUGGUGUUUCGAGUUGUCAUUCGGUGUAGAAACCAAAUAAGUACAUGAUCAUCUAUGCUAACACAAGCAUAACAUGAGAGUUUAGAAAUAAACACAAUGCUUGGAUAGCAUAUUAUUAACAUUCCAAUAAGAUAGAUCAUCAUGCAAAGCAACAAUUGGAAUGGAUUUAUUCAAAUGAUUUUCCAAAUACAAUUUUUAAGAUAACCAUGGGCAAAAUCGCACAAGAAUUCCAUACUAAAAAAACAUUGCAUGCCACAGAGAUAUAAGAUAAUCUCAAACAUAAAUUCUAAGUGGCAAACUAGCAAACCACUAUUGUUAAUGUUCACACGAGAAGUGAUAUGCACAAAGUAUAUCACUCCCCCAUAAUGUGAUAAUCCAUGUAUUAUCCACACGAGGCAAAUGAAACCCAACUAAGGAUAAUUAAUGGAUGAGGAUUUGAGUUUCAAAUGAACUUUACAUACCCCAUAGUAACUAGAUAAUAUUGCACUAACAAUACUAGGUGGUAUCCUACAUAUAUACACAUUUAAGGUUUGUGAUAUGUGUAAAACAUAGCACUCUCCCAUAAUGUGAUGAUCCAUUAAUAUCUCAAAAGAGCCAAGGAAGAUUCAACUAAUGAAGCAAUAAAGGCUCGAAACCACACAUGCAACUAUAUGAUGUGCAUAGCAACCUACACAAGCUAGAUAACAUGAAUCAAGCAUAUUAGGAGGCACAACAUAUACAAACACAUGCUAGGAACAAAACCUAAACAUGCAUGGGGCUAGUAACUUUCAAUGUAGACAAUAUAAAUACAAGUUACCGCCACGAGGAGCAUUGGAAUGACAAAUAUGAUGAUAAUUCACUUAACUUGGUUUGAACCAUAAUGAAUGGUGAGAAUCAUUUUUCUUCAUGAACUAGCCAAGCGUCCAAUGCCCUCCACACACCUAUUGAUUAAUUUUGAACUCGAUGGUCCCCAACCACGUUGGGUCCUAAGAAGUUAGUAACAAUAGGCUUGGCAACCCAAAUGGUCUUAUCCACUUUCAAACCACUUUGGGCACCAAUAUACUUGGAAAACAUAUUAUCAUCAAUAUCCUUCCUAAGUGAAUAAUGAUCAUUGAUAAUUGGAGGCUUAGAUAUGUUACCAUUUGGACAUGAUGAAGCUAUGUGUCCCUUCUUACGGCAAAUAUAGCAACGUGUACUCCCCCUUCUCUUCUUCUUUACUUUCUCAACUUGGGAAGUAAUAACAUGGUUCAUCAUGGAUAGUGCCCGUUCUUCAACUUGAGGUUGAACUUGAGAUUGAGCUUGAGGCUGCUUUCCAUGUAGCUUCCCUUUAUAAGCCCUUUUCUUUAGUGGACAAUAUCUCACGUGAUGUCCAACCUUUUUGCAUUUAAAGCAAGAAAUGGUGGGCUCAUUCUUGGCUCGGCCUUGCCCCCUUUUCUUGUUCAUGGAUUUCUUCUUGUUGGAGUGAAAACUAUGUCCAUCAUCGCACUUUUCCAAGUCUUUCUUCAAACUAGUGACUUGGGCCUUGAGCUUAUUAAUUUCCUCUACAUGGUUAGUUUCAAGACUAGAAACAAGAGGAGUAGUGGAAGUAGAAACUUCAUGGUUAGAGCAACAAGACAAGGUGAGCAAUUCAUCAUGAGGUGUACCAAUAUCAUGUAGAGAGGAAUUGCAAGGACUAGCACAUUGCAAUAAGGCAUUCCGAGUAGAAGAUGUGCUAAUAUCCACAUGAGACUCACAUGAUUUUACCUUGGUGACCAUAGCCUCAUGAGAUAACUUUAACCCAUCAUGAGAGAUUAGAAGAUCAUCAUGAGUGCCUGAGAGCUUUUUAUGAGUUUCUUCCAAUUUCCCAUAAUUGCUAGUUAGCAAAUCAAGUUGAGUCCUUAGCUCAACAUUUUCUUUCAAUAUCGAUGCUUCACACAAGAUAGAGUUAGUAGCACAAGCAUCAUUAUCAAUAUGAGAGGAGCAUGUAGAAACUAGAGACUCCGCAUGAGUAGCUUGAAGUUCCUCGUGAGACUUAGAGAGUUUGGUGAGCUCUCCUUUGACAUUAUUGUAGCUAAGGUCAAGGUGCUCAAAAUCCUCUUUAAGUUUACAAUGAGUAACUUCAAUCUCUUCUUUUAAAGACCUCAAGUCACUACGACAUUGAUGAGCCUUAGCAAGUUCAUGUUCAAGUUGUUCACUUUUCGCUUGCUCGUGUUGGUGAAGUGCAAGAUAUUGAAGUGUGCAAGUAAUCGGAGGUGGAAGUAAUAGAGAGCUCUUCAUGAUUUAAAAAUGUGGAGAACUCCUCCAUCAACUCCCCAAAUAGAAUAUUAUCUUCAUCAAGAUUGUACCCACCAUAUAUAUCUUCAAGUUUGGUCCAAGUCUCAUGAGCCGACUUGCAAGUCGUGACUGCCUUAAACACUUCAAAUGUUAAAGCUUGAUUAAUGACAAGAGAAGUAUCACAAUCAAGAUACAUAUCUUCGAUAGAUGGAGAAUGUCCAUCCUUAGCAAUAGAAAUUCCUAUAAGAACAAUUCGCAAAGCAUUUCGACCCAUGGCCCGAAAGUGACAAAGCAUGCAGAUUCUCCAUAGGUGAUAAUUUGUGCCAUCCAAAUCAAAAGUGUUGUUGUGCACUAGUUCACUAGUCGACAUCAUUACUCUCUAGGCGGUGAAGCCUAAUAAGGAGAGACCGGACUCUGAUACCAAUUGAAAGGACCACGAUGUCGCCUAGAAGGGGGGUGAAUAGGCGUUUUAAAAUAUUUUGCGGAUUUGGCUAUAUCCUAAUGCGGAAAUAAACUAAGCGGAUAUUUUUCAAGCACAAAUCCUAAAUAUACUAGGCUCACUAAGUGCAACAACAGCUUAGGAUAAACAAGAUGAGAACAACGAGGAUAUGAGUAAGCACAAGUAAGUACACAAACUUACUCAAUGUAUAUCACAAGAUAUGUAAAUGAAUAAUACACACAACCACAAGUAAGAAAUACAAGCUUACACAAAUUAUGUCACAAGAUAUGGAAAUGAAUGUUACAAGCUAGCAAUUCACACUCAGCACAAGAUAGAACAAUGGUAGCAAGUAUGAAUUGCGACUAUAAAGUGUUGGCCUAAAUUAUCUCUACGAAAUGGUAACCAACACAAUAUAAUGAGGACAACAAGAUAUAGUGAAUGCACGGUCAAGUGACCAAAGUAAACCACAAGUAAGGAGUUAGGGUUAAGGAUAACCAAAGUCACGAAGACAAGGAUGUAUCCCGAUGUUCACUUCCUUGGAGAGAAGCUAGUCACCGUUAGAGAGGUGGAUGUUACCAUGAAGGCACACCAACGCCAUGAAAGCUCACCCUAUUCUCCUUGAGAUAUCACCACGAAGGCGAUUCUCAACCACUAGUGGUAGACCUUGAGGCGGCCUCCAAACCUUCACAAACUUUCCGGGGGACAAAUCACAAGUUGAUUCCUCACCGGAGCACUCCUACCGCCUAGGAGUCUCCAACCUCCAAGAGUAUCAAGAACAAAGGGGAAAUGCUCAAGACUUGCUCAAAUCAUGAAUUCCUUUGGUCAAGAGAGGGAGAGGGAGUGGAUCUAUCACUUGAUUGGAAAAACUCUCAAGAACUCUCACAAAUCUCUCCGGGAUCUAAGAUUUGGUGUAGGAGAAGUGAGAGGGAGCCACUUGUGUUCUUGGGGCGAUUUGGGAUAAAGUGGUCAACCCUCUACCAGAUUAGUAGAGGGGUAUAUAUAGAAGGACUAGAAAACUAGCCGUUUGUGGGUAAGUGACAGCGUCGGGCCGGACAUCCGGGCAAGGGACGGACAUCCGGGCAAGUGCCGGACAUCCGGCAGGCACAACCAACAUUUGAAAACAGGUUCUGGAAUUUGCGGGCCGGAUUUCCGGGAGGAUCCCGGACAACCGGGGCGACCCGGAAGCCCGGACAUCCGGCCAAGUCGCGGAUGUCCGGCCAUCAAAAAAACAGCAGGAACCCCAAAACUUUUACAUCCGGACUCCGAUUUUGAUGAUCUUGGGCUCGUUUUGAAGCUAUGUAAAAAUUGCAGGUCCUCACAUAUAGAACCACCCAAUAUAAGCCAUAAUGGAGGGUGCAAAGCAUGCAAUGGUUAUACAUAUACUUUGGGGAACCUAGUUGGCUUUGGAUUUUCUUUUGAGAUAUGUAGGCAUAUUGUAUUUGUAUUGGAUAGGAGCGAAAUAUGCCUAUGUUGGAAUAUGAUGUGAGAAGAAUAGAAAUAGAUGAUGUUGACUUGAGCAAAUCCAUCACUAACCCCUUUGAUCCCCUCUCAAUAGUGCGGGAUCCCUAUAACUCAAGAAUCAUAAAAGAACUAUACUAGAUAGCUUCCGAAAACUCAUUCCUGAGCAUAUAUCCUUUUCGAUGGUCAUAGAUCCUCACAUCUAAAGCCAAAGGAACUAAUACCUUUGACUAGAGCCUUUCACUUGAGCUUUAUAUUGAUGUUUCUUCAUGGCUCAAGUUGAAGGCAAGACAUUGGAGAAGUCUUCAAGUAGCUCCCCCAUACACAAUGUGGGAAGAUUUGUUUUGCAUUCAUCUUUACUUGUCCAUCAACAUUAAUUACUUGAUGACAUACUUUGAUGAGCACCAAGCUUUCUUAGAAGCACCAAGCUCAUGAGAAUUACCUAACCAACAUAACAUAGACAACACAUAGUAUGGGUUAGUACACAAAGCGCAAUUGAUAAAUUCUUAUCAUGCCACAAGAUCUCAUGUGGCACAUGAUAUGCGCUUGUGUGUUGUCCAUCUUAGAGGUCAAUCUUUGAUCUUCAUCUUGGUCAACAUUUAUCUUUGCUCCAUGAUUAAUAUUGAUUUCUUGAAGGCCCUAUUGAUAUCUUCACUAUGCUUCAUUUCUUCAAGACAUAAUAACCAAUAUCUCAAUUCACCAUGACCAUAUCAAGUUUCUCCUUGAAUAUCAUAUUGGACAUCAUUUGCCCAUUCUCAUGCUCCAACAUGGUAUCUUGAGAGGCACAAUGAUUUCUUCACUUGAAUUACUUGCUUCAUGACAUAAUAAUCCCCGACUCAACAAAUGAGCUCAUAAUGAUCCUAUCAUCAAGCAUAUGUAGAAUUCUUCUCUUUAAUCAUUCUCUCAAGAUCUUGAUCCAUCAUGGUUCAACCCAUAAGCCUUGAUGCAUGCACAACAAUAUGUAUAUGGCAUUCAUUUCGAAUCCAUUCUAUCUCCUUCUUGCAUCACCAUGGAACAAACAUCCUUCAGUUCAUCCAAUAUUCUUCAUGCAUUGGAAAUGGAACUUUCCUUCAAAUGUACAACUCAAUGCAAACAUUAGUCCAUUAGGAUUGCCAUUUAAUUACCAAAACCACACAUGGGGACUACAUGUACUUUCGAUAUCUUAUAAACUUAGGCAAGUGUUCUCAGGUUAUCCUUAACAUCAUGCACUAACUUGGGUAAUUAGCAUCAAACAAUACAUAUCAGUACAAGGCUAGGCAAGAUAAUAAAGACUUGGGAAAACAUAGCAGAGUUAUAAAAAAUGAUAUGUGCCCUUAAAGAAAGGGCAGUGUCAAGUGCGGCCACAUACAUAGGCAUUAACAGCACCCACGACCCCUGGACACUCUCACAACCGAAGAGGAGGUGCCUUGCAUAUGGUCUCCUUCGAGUCUGCGAGAGAAAGAGCGAGGUGAAGGUCAGUACGCGUAUCAAGGAUGCUGCUGUUCUGGGUCAAGCUAAGUCAAGGGCAUAUGAGAAUUUAGUCAAAAAAUAAAAUAACAUGUGAACAUCUUGCACAAACUAUCAUCAUUUAUAAAAAAUACAAAACAAAUAUGCAUAAAGCUAUACAAUGGUUGAGUGCUCAUGCUUCUAUUAUAUCAGACAAUAGCAUUUAGCAAUAGUGAUGAUCAACUACACUAUUCGCUUAUCAUGAACAAUUAAUUCUCAAGAUGCAGAAAGCUUGUUUACAAUAGUUUGGGUUUUAAAAUUUGUCAUCUUGAAACAUCACACUACCACAUGAUAGGACAGAUACAGGAAAUAGGAUUGCCCUGAUCAAGUAUACAUAAGCAUAAAAAAGAUCAAACAAGCUCAUUGUGCAUUUUCUUUUUCAGUGUGAUACACAAUAAGCAUAAGUAACCACUAGGAAAUAACUUGCUGUCUAUAGGCCCUAUUAUCGGCAACAAUAACAUUAGGCAAGGAAGAACAGUAUAUUUCCAAUGCAAUUUGUUAGACAACAUUAUGUGGGGGCUGCAUGAGUGUUAUGUGGGGGCUGCAUGAUCUGUCGUUUUAAAAUGCUUCCUAAAAAUACAAGACUGGAAGAAUGCAAAAGGUGCAUCAUCUAUGAUAUGUUUAGCGUUUCUAUUUGAACUAGAAUAGGAUUGCACAAGUGUAUUCAAUUCAACAAGUAGUCUGAACCGUUGCAUAAAAGGAACUGCUGGUGCUGGCAAACCACACCUCAUUCUAAUAAUAUUCACAAGUGUAUAAUAAGGUUGAUGCCGAGCAGACUGCGCACCUCCUGGAUGAAUGCCUUGGCCUCUAUCUUUGCUGCUGCUUCUGCUGCACAAGAAGAAGAAGAUGAGACAUGUGCUAGAAAGGAAGGAAUGCAUCCCGAAACAACAAGGGAGCAUCAGGUAGCUGACCUUUGUGCCCUUGACGUUGGAGCUCCAUGGACCUGAGCUUGGUGGUGACCAAUCAAUAGCCGCUUCACAAGGAGAGAGAGAGGAAAACAAAGGUUAAUCACGGGUACCUUGGCAAAUGGGCA